rnacentral:misc_RNA from 1 species
GAUGAAGAACGUAGCGAAAUGCGAUAAGUAAUGUGAAUUGCAGAAUUCAGUGAAUCAUCGAAUCUUUGAACGCACAUUGCGCCCAUUAGUAUUCUAGUGGGCAUGCCUGUUCGAGCGUCAUUAAGUCCACUUAAGCCCUGCUUAGUGUUGGGAGACUGCUCCAGCGGUGCUACCCUGUAGCUACCCUGCAGCUCCUCAAAGACAGCGGCGGAGUUGUGGUAUCCUCUGAGCUUAGUAACUUGUUCUAGCUUUCGAGUACACCACUUCCCCUGCCGUAAAACCCUUAAUUUUUAAUGGUUGACCUCGGAUCAGGUAGGAAUACCCGCUGAACUUAAGCAUAUCAAUAAGCGGAAGA